CACUUGUUCGGAUGGCGCAUCCUACACAUUGAGGAGCAUUAUGUAUGGUAGGGAUCUACUGAGGGAAGGUUUGAUUUGGCGUGUCGAAGAUGGGAAUUCCAUAAACAUACAUCAUGAUAGCUGGAUUCCAAGGUUUGGAUGUGUGAAGCCUCUAGGUCAACAAUAUGUACAAGGGAUAACUCGUGUUGGUGAUCUGCUAAAUACCGAGGGAACUGGUUGGGAUUACGGCAAGCUGGACAUGAUGU
rnacentral:lncRNA from 1 species